GAGAAGAGAAGAGAAGAGAAGAGAAGAGAAGAGAAGAGAAGAGAAGAGAAGAGAAGAGAAGAGAAGAGAAGAGAAGAGAAGAGAAGAGAAGACUAGCUUUUUGAUCUAUGCUGAAAGGUCAUAUUUGUCUCCCUGCAAAGAUGCAAACCUGAAAACAUUUGCACUGAUCCACGGGGCAACAGUCCCUUCCAGCUGAUCACAGUGCAUGGAAAGAAGAAGCCCUCUCAGACAAACUAGUGUGUUAAAGCCACCAAGGUGAUCUACUGUGCCCAGCUGUGGCAGAAGGCAGCCUUCCCUGCACUGCCAAGGGAGUGUAGAAGCUGUCUGGCAUUUCAUGCCAGGUGCCUAGCACUAGCACAGUCAAGCCCAGGUUUCCAGGUCACAUCCAACUCCAUAUUGCAAGGUGCUGAGUAACAGCUUAUGAUCCCUAUCAAGUAAUGGCUCCAGGGUUUGUUUACCAACAUCCACUGGAGACUCCAGCUUUUCUGCAGAAACAGAAACCGAGCCCAGGCUUAUCCAGGAAACCCUAAAGUCCACACGGGCACAUCCAUAGAGAAGACAGCCACAGCUCAGCCUCCUGUUCUACCUCUUGGACUGCUGUGUCCCUCUGAGACAGACUCCAUUGAGAUCUCUGUGAAAAGAAUGAUGUGACUUACCAGUAUCAUACAAGAUGUUCCAAGAAUAUCAGCAAGGCACUGGAAUAUGACAAGGGGACUGGGGACUUUCCUGAGAAGGUUGUACCCAGUGAUGGAAAAUAUAUUUGUGUUCUUACUUUAGCACAAGUGUCUUCUAUAAUGCUAAGGUUUGCUUUCAAAUAAAACAUAAAUUGCACAUCUGGUUGGAAGAAAUAAAUGCAAUAGUGCUUCAAAGACUAUCUGUCCGGCUUAAAAAGCAAAGAGAUGAGGAUUUAUUGGUGUUUUUAUUAUUAACAUAAAAGCCUUGGGACCUCAGUAGGCCAGGGUUAUAGGUAAAUAUGGGUUCUAUUUUCUUCUUUGUUCGCCUUAGCAUAUUAUUAGCAUCAAGCUAAAAAAGGAUCAUCUGAAUGUUAAUAUGUUUAUUAUGUGCACAUGGGUGUUAGCUUAAUCAAUACACAGAUGUAGAAGACUGUAGAGAAAAAUAUGAGCUACAACUAUAUUCAUCAUCUUAAUCAUUUCAGACAGCAUCUUCAUUCUGGAGAUAUUAUUUGCUUAAGAAAUCCCACUCUUGUACUUUCACAGUCUUUCAAGGCUUUUGUGAAGCAGCAAUGGGCUGCUUCCGUGCAAAGGCUUGGAAUGGACAUCUAUUUGCAAGUGAACAAGCAAUGAAGGAAGUGGGAGUUUCUAAAAUAGAUUACUUAUAAAAUUAAAAUUUUAGGAAGCUUGGGUAAAAAUAACAUGUCCAAAUCAGCAAAUAUGGGGUGGCUUGAAGACAUACACAUUAGACUUCCUGCCUAAGCUGCUGGUGACUUCAGCCUCCUUUCCAGGAGAAAAUUAGCCUAUGCAAUGCUGUUAAAGCCUUGCAUGAGUCACUCCAAAGUGUUGGAGGGGGCUGUACAAAUCCUGGUCCCCACUUCUCCCAAAAAUUGUCUUCAAGAGGUUCAAUUUUGAUGUGUCAGGACUGGGUUGAAUCUUUCAUAGGAUUUAAAUUAAAUCCUUGGCAACCACUCUUCUGAUUUUAUAAUAAAAUCUGACCUAUGUGUUAAAGUGAGGACAUUGUUUUGCUGGGUUAUUGCUUAAUUACUAAAUGAAGAAAUAUAAAGUACAAAUUUAAUGACUCAUACAAUAUUUCCAAAUGGCUCGUACUAUAAAGUCCCAUUUACAUCUACCACACUGGUGUUUAAUUCACUUUCCAUUAUUCCUGAGGCUAUUAAUGUCAGUAAUUACAGCAGGUAAC